rnacentral:misc_RNA from 1 species
GAUGAAGAACGUAGUGAAAUGCGAUAAGUAAUGUGAAUUGCAGAAUUCAGUGAAUCAUCGAAUCUUUGAACGCACAUUGCGCCCCCCAGUAUUCUGGCGGGCAUGCCUGUUCGAGCGUCAUUUCAACCAUCAAGCCCUGCUUGUGUUGGGGUCCUGCGGCUGCCCGCAGGCCCUGAAAACCAGUGGCGGGCUCGCUAGUCACACCGAGCGCAGUAGCACAUCUCGCUCAGGGCGUGCGGCGGGCUCCAGCCGUUAAAGCACCCACCUUUCGCAAGGUUGACCUCGGAUCAGGUAGGAAUACCCGCUGAACUUAAGCAUAUCAAAAGCGGAGGA